AUACGUAGGUGGCAAGCGUUGUCCGGAAUUAUUGGGCGUAAAGCGCAUGUAGGCGGUGCCUUAAGUCUGUCGUGAAACUGCGGGGCCUAACCCCGUAUGGCGAUGGAAACUGUGGCACUUGAGUGCAGGAGAGGAAAGGGGAACUCCCAGUGUAGCGGUGAAAUGCGUAGAUAUUGGGAAGAACACCGGUGGCGAAGGCGCAUUGUUGGACUGUAUCUGACGCUGAGAUGCGAAAGCCAGGGUAGCGAACGGGAUUAGAUACCCCGGUAGUCCUGGCCGUAAACGAUGGGUACUAGGUGUGGGAGGUAUCGACCCCUUCCGUGCCGGAGUUAACGCAAUAAGUACCCCGCCUGGGGAGUACGGCCGCAAGGCUUAAACUCAAAUGAAUUGACGGGG
rnacentral:rRNA from 1 species